rnacentral:tRNA from 2 species
GCCCGGGUGGCGAAAUUGGUAGACGCAAGGGACUUAAAAUCCCUCGGUGGCAACACCGUGUCGGUUCAAGUCCGACCCCGGGCACCA